rnacentral:lncRNA from 1 species
GAGCUGCUUCUGCAGGUGAACUGGUGAUACUCCAAACAAAACCAAGUCAGCAAAAGUCUGUGGUUCUUCAAGGCUGGGAAAGGAACUAGGUUAUGAACGGCCAUUUAGAAAUGCAAGCAUCCUGGUCCCCGUGUGCCAUCAACUUGACUCAGGAAUGAAAGUGCAGUCAGUCUGGACACUUGCAGGGACUGACUCCCUUCUUUGGAAAGGUGCCCAUGACCCCUCCCCUCUGCUGCCCACACAGGCUGUCCUGGGCUUGGUGAAAGAUGUGAGCUCUUGGCAGCGUGUUCGGGAACACUGAGACUGUGGAGGGGCAAUUGUCCAGGUCACCGGCAGAUAAGAGGCCUAGCUGGGAACAGGAUGCAAAUGAAUGCAAAGCUGAGACACACACAGAGAGAGACUCACAGCUGACCGGGGCUUUCAAGUGCCUAGGCACAGGGUGUUUGUGGGAGGGAGAGGCACGUGAGUAGUCUGUCUCCGGUCGAAGUCCUGCUCAACACUUGUAAGGCCAUUAUCCCAGAACAUGGACACGUGUGAAAGUUCUGCUAGCUUCUGAGGCCCUGUCCCACACUUUGCAGAUAUUUCCUGAAAGACAGAUAUGUAUUAUGUGACUUUCAGCAGAGUGAAUAUACCUACCAUGCGAGUUUAAGUGGG